UAGUCGAAGGACAACAGGUCGAAAUUCCUGUACCACCGUAAGCCGUUAUGAGCAAUGGGGGGACGCAGCAGGGUAGUGACGCGGACUGAUGGAUGUCCGUCUAAGCAGUGAGGCUGAUGUGUAGGCAAAUCCGCACAUCGUAAGGCUGGGCUGUAAUGGGGAGCGAAAAUUAUAGUAGCGAAGGUCAUGAUCUCACACUGCCAAGAAAAGCCUCUAGCCAGGUGAUGGUGCCCGUACCGCAAACCGACACAGGUAGGCGAGAAGAGAAUUCUAAGGCGCGC
rnacentral:rRNA from 1 species